CAGUCGCCGCGGGAAUACGGAGGGAGCUAGCGUUGUUCGGAAUUACUGGGCGUAAAGCGCGCGUAGGCGGUUACUCAAGUCAGAGGUGAAAGCCCGGGGCUCAACCCCGGAACUGCCUUUGAAACUAGGUGACUAGAAUCUUGGAGAGGUCAGUGGAAUUCCGAGUGUAGAGGUGAAAUUCGUAGACAUUCGGAAGAACACCAGUGGCGAAGGCGACUGACUGGACAAGUAUUGACGCUGAGGUGCGAAAGCGUGGGGAGCAAACAGGAUUAGAUACCCCCGUAGUCCCUGUCUCUUAUAC
rnacentral:rRNA from 1 species